rnacentral:misc_RNA from 1 species
UACAGAGGUGGCAAGCGUUGUUCGGAAUCACUGGGCGUAAAGGGCGCGUAGGCGGCCAGGCAAGUCAGAUGUGAAAUUUCUUUGCUUAACGGAGAAACUGCAUUUGAAACUGCCUGGCUAGAGUGUUGGAGAGGAGAGUGGAAUUCUCGGUGUAGCGGUGAAAUGCGUGGAUAUCGAGAGGAACACCAGUGGUGAAGACGGCUCUCUGGCCAACAACUGACGCUCAGGCGCGAAAGCCAGGGGAGCAAACAGG